GGGCGUGUAACUCAGUGGUUAGAGUGCUACAUUCACAUUGUAGAAGUCGAGGGUUCGACUCCCCCCACGCCCA
rnacentral:tRNA from 1 species